rnacentral:rRNA from 1 species
UACGUAGGGUGCGAGCGUUGUCCGGAAUUAUUGGGCGUAAAGGGCUCGUAGGCGGUUUGUCGCGUCGGGCGUGAAAACCCAGGGCUUAACCCUGGGCUGGCUUCCGAUACGGGCAGACUAGAGGUAUGCAGGGGAGAACGGAAUUCCUGGUGUAGCGGUGAAAUGCGCAGAUAUCAGGAGGAACACCGGUGGCGAAGGCGGUUCUCUGGGAAUAUCCUGACGCUGAGGAGCGAAAGUGUGGGGAGCGAACAGG